rnacentral:piRNA from 1 species
GGCAAUGCAGUGGUCCUGGGCUUCUACGU